rnacentral:rRNA from 1 species
GUGGGGAAUAUUGGGCAAUGGGCGCAAGCCUGACCCAGCAACGCCGCGUGAAGGAAGAAGGCUUUCGGGUUGUAAACUUCUUUUACCAGGGACGAAACAAAUGACGGUACCUGGUGAAUAAGCCACGGCUAACUACGUGCCAGCAGCCGCGGUAAUACGUAGGUGGCGAGCGUUAUCCGGAUUUAUUGGGUGUAAAGGGCGUGUAGGCGGGACAGCAAGUCAGAUGUGAAAACCAGAGGCUCAACCUCUGGCCUGCAUUUGAAACUGUUGUUCUUGAGUGUCGGAGAGGUAAUCGGAAUUCCGUGUGUAGCGGUGAAAUACGUAGAUAUACGGAGGAACACCAGUGGCUAAGGCGGAUUACUGGACGAUAACUGACGCUGAGGCGCGAAAGCGUGGGGAGCAAACAGGAUUAGAUACCCUAGUAGUCC